rnacentral:rRNA from 1 species
AUACGUAGGGAGCGAGCGUUGUCCGGAAUUACUGGGUGUAAAGGGAGCGUAGGCGGGACGGCAAGUCAGAUGUGAAAUCUGGAGGCUCAACCUCCAAACUGCAUUUGAAACUGCUUUUCUUGAGUAUCGGAGAGGUAAUCGGAAUUCCUUGUGUAGCGGUGAAAUGCGUAGAUAUAAGGAAGAACACCAGUGGCGAAGGCGGAUUACUGGACGACAACUGACGGUGAGGCGCGAAAGCGUGGGGAGCAAACAGGAUUAGAUACCCUGGUAGUCCACGCUGUAAACGAUCAAUACUAGGUGUGCGGGGACUGACCCCCUGCGUGCCGCAGUUAACACAAUAAGUAUUGCACCUGGGGAGUACGGCCGAAAGGUUGGAACUCAAAUGAAUUGACGGG